CAGGUACAGCGGGAAGCCACCUGGCGACAGGGCGCGGAACCCGAAAACCUGUCUCAGUUCGGAUUGGAGUCUGCAACCCGACUCCAUGAAGCUGGAUUCGCUAGUAAUCGCGCAUCAGCCACGGCGCGGUGAAUACGUUCCCGGGCCUUGUACACACCGCCCGUCAAGCCAUGGAAGCCGGGAGUGCCUGAAGUGCGUGACCGCAAGGAGCGUCCUAAGGCAAUACCGGUGACUGGGGCUAAGUCGUAACAAGGUACC
rnacentral:rRNA from 1 species